GACGAACGCUGGCGGCGUGCUUAACACAUGCAAGUCGAACGGUAAGGCUCCAGCUUGCUGGGGUACACGAGUGGCGAACGGGUGAGUAACACGUGGGUGACCUGCCCUGCACUUCGGGAUAAGCCUGGGAAACUGGGUCUAAUACCGGAUAGGACCGCACCGUGAGGGUGUGGUGGAAAGUUUUUUCGGUGUGGGAUGGGCCCGCGGCCUAUCAGCUUGUUGGUGGGGUAAUGGCCUACCAAGGCGGCGACGGGUAGCCGGCCUGAGAGGGUGGACGGCCACAUUGGGACUGAGACACGGCCCAGACUCCUACGGGAGGCAGCAGUGGGGAAUAUUGCACAAUGGGCGGAAGCCUGAUGCAGCGACGCCGCGUGGGGGAUGACGGCCUUCGGGUUGUAAACUCCUUUCACCAUCGACGAAGGGUUUCUGACGGUAGAUGGAGAAGAAGCACCGGCUAACUACGUGCCAGCAGCCGCGGUAAUACGUAGGGUGCGAGCGUUGUCCGGAAUUACUGGGCGUAAAGAGCUCGUAGGUGGUUUGUCGCGUCGUCUGUGAAAUUCCGGGGCUUAACUCCGGGCGUGCAGGCGAUACGGGCAUAGCUUGAGUACUGUAGGGGAGACUGGAAUUCCCGGUGUAGCGGUGAAAUGCGCAGAUAUCAGGAGGAACACCGGUGGCGAAGGCGGGUCUCUGGGCAGUAACUGACGCUGAGGAGCGAAAGCAUGGGGAGCGAACAGGAUUAGAUACCCUGGUAGUCCAUGCCGUAAACGGUGGGCGCUAGGUGUGGGUUUCCUUCCACGGGAUCCGUGCCGUAGCUAACGCAUUAAGCGCCCCGCCUGGGGAGUACGGCCGCAAGGCUAAAACUCAAAGGAAUUGACGGGGGCCCGCACAAGCGGCGGAGCAUGUGGAUUAAUUCGAUGCAACGCGAAGAACCUUACCUGGGCUUGACAUAUACAGGAUCGCGCCAGAGAUGGUGUUUCCCUUGUGGCUUGUAUACAGGUGGUGCAUGGUUGUCGUCAGCUCGUGUCGUGAGAUGUUGGGUUAAGUCCCGCAACGAGCGCAACCCUUGUCUUAUGUUGCCAGCACGUUGUGGUGGGGACUCGUAAGAAACUGCCGGGGUUAACUCGGAGGAAGGUGGGGAUGACGUCAAAUCAUCAUGCCCCUUAUGUCCAGGGCUUCACACAUGCUACAAUGGUCGGUACAGUGGGUUGCCAGUCCGUGAGGGCGAGCUAAUCCCGCAAAGCCGGUCUCAGUUCGGAUCGGGGUCUGCAACUCGACCCCGUGAAGUCGGAGUCGCUAGUAAUCGCAGAUCAGCAACGCUGCGGUGAAUACGUUCCCGGGCCU
rnacentral:rRNA from 1 species